UUUCAUGACUUAUGGCAAACGGGUGAGUAACGCGUGGGAAUUUACCCUAUGGUGGGGGAUAACUGAGGGAAACUUCAGCUAAUACCGCAUAAGCUCUUCGGAGGAAAGAUUUAUCGCCAUUGGAAAAGCCCGCGUUAGAUUAGGUAGUUGGUGGGGUAAUGGCCUACCAAGCCGACGAUCUAUAGCUGGUCUGAGAGGAUGAUCAGCCACACUGGGACUGAGACACGGCCCAGACUCCUACGGGAGGCAGCAGUGGGGAAUAUUGGACAAUGGGGGAAACCCUGAUCCAGCAAUGCCGCGUGAAUGAUGAAGGCCUUAGGGUUGUAAAGUUCUUUUACCUGUGAAGAUGAUGACGGUAACAGGAGAAAAAGCACCGGCUAACUUCGUG
rnacentral:rRNA from 1 species